AUUGCAAGCCUCUGCAGAGGCGCUGGAGCUGGGUCAGUCCGCCGCUCACCCCGCGGCCGCACGUUCCCGCCUUCUCAGCUUACAUGGCGUCUUCAACAAAAAGUAAUUGUUUAGAGAAGUGACAAGAUGAAGGAGGACUCUUGAGUCCUAGUCUCCCUCCUCGAGUCCCUGUGUGAGCAGAGGUAAACAAUCAAAACUCCCCAACCAGGAGAAAUUCACCUAGGACUGGCGCAGAAGGUAUACACCAUGAGUCUGGAAAUGAUUUAAAAAACAACACAGGCUGGGCGCGGUGGCUCACACCUGUAGUCCCAGCACUUUGGGAGGCAGAGGCGGGCGGAUCACUUGAGGUUUGCGAGUUCGAAACCAGUCUGACCAACGUGGAGAAACCCCGUCUUUACUAAAAAUACAAAAUUAGCCAGGUGUGGUGGCGCAUGUCUGUAAUCCCAGCUACUGGGGAAGCUGAGGCGGGAGAAUCCCUUGAACCCGAGAGAUGGAGGUUGGGGUGAGCUGAGAUCACACAAUUGCAGUCCAGCCUGGGCAGCAAGAGUGAAACUCCAUCUCAAAAAAACAAACAAACAAAAAAAACCCACAACUGUGGGCCAAAGGGACACAGCGACAAGGGGUCCCAAUGGGCGAGGCUGGAAUAACUUGAAUAGCAGAAUAAAGUAGCAUUGGAUUAUAAUGCACAGGGCUGAAGAAAUAUCGAUGAGUCUUUGCUGAUGUAAUAAGUGACUGAAUGAGCUGGGCAGAGUGGGACCUGUAGUUCAGCUACUCAGAGGCUGAGGUGGGAGCAUCAGUUGAGCCCAGGAGUCAAGGCCUAGUAAUAGCCUUUUCCAAAAUAAAAGACUGAAUAAAUAAAUAGAUGGGAGAGAGGAGACAAUUGACCAUGCAGGAGUCCAAAUAUUUGUUCUUUGAGGCAGGAUCUUCCUCUGUCAUUCAGAAGGCUGGAAUGCAAUGGUGCGCUGUUGCCUUGCUGCAGCCUGGACCUCCUGGGCUCAGGCAGUUGUCCCACCUCAGCCUCCCAAGUAGCUGGGACCAGAAGCAUGCACAUCCAGCCGAGUCCAAAUAGUGUAUGCAGAUAUGCCCUCACAGAGGUGACCUGAACUUUCUGAGUUGUGAGUGAGCUUCACCUGGGGACCUCCUUUUAGGUAGCAGGGAAAAAGAGGAGGGUGAGCCACACCCAGGCACCUCCUUCCAGAGAGCAUGUGCCUCAGCCUCCAGAGUAGCUGGGAUUGCAGACAUGUGCCACCAGCCCGACUAAUUUUUGUAUUUUUAGUCGAUAGCGGGGGUCUCACUAUGUUGCCCAGGCUGGUCUUGAACUCCUGGGUUCAGGUGAUCUUCCCACUUCAGCCUCCCAAAGUGCUGGGAUUACAGGUGAGAUAAAACUUCCUUAUUCACAGACUACAUGAUUGUCUAUAUAGAGAACACUCAUCUAAAGCAACAGCAAUGAUUGCCACAAAGACCCUCGUAGAGCCAGUAAGUGAGUUUGGAAUGUUCACCAGUAACACAUACAAAUUAAUCUUAGGGCUGCGUGCAGUGGCUCAUGCCUGUAAUCCCAGCACUUUGGGAGGCUGAGGCCGAGGCUGGUGGAUGGCCUAAGGUCAGGAGUUUGAGACCAGCCUGACCAACAUGGUGAAACCCCGUGUCUACUAAAAAUAGGAAAACUAGCCAGGCAUGGUGGCGGGCACUGUAAUCCCAGCUACUCAGGAGGCUGAGGCAGGAGAAUCGCUUGAAUCUGGGAAGCAGAGGCUGCAGUGAGCCGAGAUCACGCCAUUGCACUCCAGCCUGAGCAACAAGAGUGGAACUCUGUCUCAAAAAAAAUUAAAGACCUGGUGUGGUGGCUCAUGCCUGUAAUCCCAACGCUGUUUGGGAGGCUGAGGCAGGCGUAUCACCAGGUCAGGAGUUGGAGACCAGCCUGACCAACAUGGUGAAACCCUGUCUCUACUAAAAAUACAAAAAUUAGGCGGGUGUGGUGGCACACACCUGUAAUCGCAGCUACUCAGGAGGCUGAGACAGGAGAAUUGCUUGAACCUGGGAGGCAGAGGUUGCAGUGAGCUGAGAUCAUGCCACAUUUGAACCCGUGAGGCAGACAUUGCAGUGAGCCGAGAUCAUGUCACUGCACUCCAGCCUGGGCAACAGAGCCAGACUGUCUCAAAAAAAAAAAAAAAAAAAAAAUCUUACUUCUAUAGACAAUAAAACAUUGGAAACUGAAGUUAAAAACACAGUAGCUCCUGAGAGAGAGAGAGGUAUAAAUCUAACAAGACAAAACAGGAUCUGUAUGCUAAAAAGACCACGUAUGUGGAGAGACAGCACACAGCACGCUCAUAGACUGGAAGACUGAACAUAGUCAAGAUGCCAGUCUCAGAAGGAUCUGUGAAGUUAACAAAAUUCCAAAACAUUGCAGUAAGACUCUUUUUAGAUUUAGAGAAGAUGAUUUUAAAAUGUAUACAGAAUGGUGAAGGAGCUAGCUAAAACAGUAAAAACGAUAGAUAAAACAAUGUUUUAAAAAGAACAAAAAAGUUAGAUGAAUCACAUUACACAGUUUUAACACACUUUAAAGCCACAAAAAUCAAGACUGUGGUAUUGGCAAAGAACAGACAGAUGGGUCAGUGAUCAGAGAGUCUAGAAACAGACCCACAUAAAUAGAGCCAUUUGAUCUUUGACAGCAGUGCAAACAAAAGCAACCCUGUGGAGAAAGGAUUGUCCAUUCAACAGAGCAAUGGGGCAGUUGGUCAUCCAUAUGGAAGAAAUGGAACCUUGACCUAAACCUCACAUUGUACACAAUUAACUCAAAUCAUAUGUAAAUGUAAAAACUAUAAAAUGUUUGGAAGAAAACAGAAAAAUACCUUUGUACCUGAUGACAUUUGGUAGAGUUCUUAGACAUGAUCCCAAAGGCAUAAUCCACAGAAGAAUCCAUAAAAGAAAAAUUUGUAAAUUGGGCUUUAUCAAAAUUAAAAACUUACUUUUUUGAGACAGGGUCAUGCUGUGUUGUCCAGGCUGGAGUGUGGUGGUAAGUCAUAGCUCACUGCAGCCUCGACCUCCCGGGCUCAAGCCAUCCUCCUUCCUCAGCCUCCUGAGUAGCUGGGACUAGAGGUGCAAGCCACUAUUCUUGAUUUUAAAAUUUUUUUCCAGAGUCUGAGUCUUGCUGUGUUGCCCAGGCUGGUCUCAAAUUCCUAGCCUUAAGUGAUCCUUCCACUUUCGGCCCCAAAGUAGUUGAGAUUACAGGCGUGAGCCACUGUGCCUGACCUAAAAACGUUUGAACUACCAAAGACAGUGUGAAAAGAAUGAAAAGAUGAGGAGAAAAUAUUCACAAAUCACCUGUCAACUAAGGACCUGUAUUUGGAAUACACAGAGAACUCUUAAAACUCAACAGUAAGAAAACAGUCCAACUAAAAAGUGGAAAAGACCUGACCAGACAUGCACCAGUAAUGACACAGCAUUGACUGUUGGGCACAGGAGAAGAGGCUUGACACCACCAGCCACCAGGAAAUGCAGAUUCAGCCACCACGCAGGACACGAGGCACCUGCACCACAGCCGCAGUGCAAGAGAAUGCUGGUGGUGCCCCAAGCUGCCAGGGUGUGGACCUGCUGGAAAUGGAAGACGGCAUGGUGGUUUCCUGUAAAGUUCAAUGUACACAGCCACAUGACCCAGCAAUCCCACUGUUGGGUAUUUAGAGAAUGAAAAACUUAAGUCCACAUAAAAACUGUACGUAAAUGUUUAUUGAUGCCUUAUUCAUAAUCAUCAGCUGAAAUUCAAAUGCCUUUCAUUGGGUGAACUGGUAAACUGUGGUAUAUCUAUGCAAUGAAAUACUCAUCUGCAGUGACAAUGGGGAGGGACUGACACACGGCACCAUGGGGGUGGGAAGAGGUGAAGGAAGGUUGGGGGAAGGCGCCGUAGUCAGGUGUGGCACUAAGGAGAUUCGGGGGUGGAGCUAUUCUGUGUGUGGAUUCAAACAAACAAAAAAGUUAAAAAUUUUAGUUUAAAAUAUUAAAACAUUUUUUAAAAUUGACACGUAUUCCUGAUUUUUUUUUUUUUUUUUGAGAUGGAGUUUUGCUCUUCUUGUCCAGGCUAGAGUGCAGUGGCGCCAUCUCGGCUCACCACAACCUCUGCCUCCUGAGUAGCUGGGAUUACAGGCAUGUGCCACCAUGCCUGGCUAAUUUUGUAUUUUUUUAAAUAGAGACAGGGUUUCUCCAUGUUGGUCAAGCUGGUCUCGAACUCCUGACCUCAGGUAAUCCACCUGCCUCAGCCUCCCGAAGUGUUGGGAUUACAGGUGUGAGCCACUGCCCCCGGCAUUCCUGAUUUUUAAUAAGCUGUAACAGAAGAUAAUUUCUCUACUUGGUAAAUGGUAUUUAUCAAAACCCUGCAGCAAUCAUGCUUAAGUCAAGAUAUUUAAAGUAUUCCCAUUAAAGUCAGACAAGCACAGUUCUCUUUGCUAUCACUGUCAGUGUUUCUCCAGACAUCCCAGCAGGGUGAGAGAACUGAAAAAGAGGCAAGGAGAUGAAUAUUGGAGACAGAGUUUAGCAGUUUGUUGAUGAUACGAUCAUCUGCAUGUAAAUCCAAGAAAAUCCCCUGAAGAACCCUGAGGACCAGCCGAGGAGUUCAGUCCAUGCCAGAUCCAGUGGGUUUCUCUACUCCACAAUAACCCAUCGGAGCAUGAGCCACAACCCUCCACCUCCCUAUGAAAGAAUCACAAAACAAGCUGGAAGAGAAGUGUGUAAGGACCGCCUGAGGAACAUGCUAAAAGAGGGUGAGUUGGCAGACAUGCCACAUCGUGGGUGAAGGAUGUCAGCUGCCCCACGAAGUAAACUGUACAUUCAUUGCAAUCCUAGUUAAAUUCUGAUGAGAUUAAAUGACACAGGAUAAGCUGCUUCUAGAGCUGAUCUAACAGAAGAAAAGCCAACGUUAAAAGAAAAAAAAGGCUGGGUGAGGUGGCUCACCCCUGUAAUCCCAACACUUUGGGAGGCUGAAGCAGGCGGAUCAUUUAUGUUGAGGAGUGUCAUUUGUGGUCAGCCUGGCCAGCAUGGUGAAACCCAUCUCUACUAAAAAUACAAAAAUUAGGUGGGUGUGGUGGUGGGUGCCUGUAAUCCCAGCUACUUGGGAAGCUGAGACAGGAGAAUUGCUUAGGCCUGGGAGGUGGAGGUUGGUGGUGAGCCGAGAUUGCUCCACUGCAUUCCAGCCUGGGUGACAGAAUGGUACUCUCUCUCUCUCUCUCACACACACACAGACACACACAAAAUAAAGAAAAAGGGCCGGUGUGGAGGCUCCUGCCAUAAUCCAGCACUUUGGGAAACCGAGGUGGGCAGAUUGCUUGAGUUCAGUUCGAGACGAGCCUGGGCAACAUGGCAAAACCCCAUCUCUACAAAAAUAAAAAAUUAGCUGGGUGUGGUGGUGCCUGUAGUCCCAGCUACUCUGGAGGCUGAGGUGGGAGUAUAGCUUGAGGCCAGGAGCCCAAGGUUACAGUGAGCCAUGAUUGCACCACUGCACUCUGGCCUGGGUGACAGAGUGAGGCCCUGCCUCCAAAAAAAGAAAAAAAAAAGCCACACCAUAAAGGGGGUCCUACUGUGUCUGGAAUUGGUGGGUUCUUGGUCUCACUGACUUCAAGAAUGAAGACGAGGGCCCUCGUAGUGAGUGUUACAGCUCUUAAAGGCGGCGUGUCUGGAGUUUGUUCUUUCUGAUGUUCGGAUGUGUUUGGAGUUUCUUCCUUCUGGUGGGUCCGUGGUCUCGCUGGUUGAGGAGUGAAGCUGCAGACCUUCACGGUGAGUGUUACGGCUCUUAAGGUGGCGCGUCUGGAGUUGUUCAUUCUUCCCACUGGGUUCGUGGUCUUGAUGGCUCAGGAGUGAAGCUGCAGACCUUUGCGGUGAGUGUUACAGCUUUUAAGGCAGCGCGUCUGGAGUUGUUCAUUCUUCCCACUGGGUUCGUGGUCUCGAUGGCUUCAGGAGUGAAGCUGCAGACCUUUGCAGUGAGUGUUACAGCUCAUAAACGCAGUGUGGACCCAAAGAGUGAGCAGCAGCAAGAUUUAUUGCAAAGAGCAAAAGAACAAAGCUUCCACAGUGUGGAAGGGGACCGGAGCAGGUUGCCACUGCUGGCUUGGGCAGCCUGCUUUCUCUUAUCUGGCCCCACCCACAUCCUGCUGAUUGGUCCAUUUUACAGAGAGCCGAUUGGUCUGUUUUACAGAGAGCUGAUUGGUCCGUUUUUGACAGGGUGCUGAUUGGUGCUUUUACAAUCCCUGAGCUAGACACAAAAGAUCUCCACUUCCCUUCCAGGGUAGCUAGAUACAGAGUGUCGAUUGGUGCAUUCACAAACCCUGAGCUAGACACAGCGUGCUGAUUGGUGUGUUUACAAACCUUGAGCUAGAUACAGAGUGCUGAUUGGUGUAUUUACAAUCCCUUAGCUAGACAUAAAGCUUCUCCCAAGUCCCCACCAGACUCAGGAGCCCAGCUGGCUUCACCCAGUGGAUCCUGCACCAGGGCUGCAGGUGGAGCUGCCUGCCAGUCUUGUGCUGUGCACCUGCACUCUUCAGCCCUUGGGUGGUCGAUGGGACUGGGCGCUGUGGAGCAUGGGGCAGCGCUCGUUGGGGAGGCUGGGGCCACAUAGGAGCCCAUGGAAGGGGUGGGAGGCUCAGGCAUGGUGGGCUGCAGGUCCCGAGCCCUGCCCUGCAGGGAGGCAGCUAAGGCCCAGCGAGAAAUUGAGCACAGUAGCUGCUGGCCCAGGUGCUAAGCCCCUCACUGCCCGGGGCCGGCAGAGCCGGUUGGCUGGCCGCUCUGAGUGCAGGGCCUGCCGAGCCCACGCCCACCCAGAACUCAUGUUGGCCUGCAAGCCUGCUCACAGCCCUGGUUCCCACCCGCAUCUGUCUCUCCAUCCACACCUCCCCGCAAGCUGAGGGAGCCAGCUCCGGCCUUGGCCAGCCCAGAAAGGGGCUCCCACAGUGCAGCGGCGGGCUGAAGGGCUCCUCAAGGGCGGCCAGAGUGGGUGCCAAGGCCGAGGAGGUGCAGAGAGCAAGCAAGGGCUGCGAGGGCUGCCAGCACACUGUCACCUCUCACUACCAGACCCGAGCAGAGCUGUGGACAACACAGUAUGGGAAUUAAGCAGGUGAGAUGACCAGAGUCCUCACUGGCACUAGAAGAUGGCAGCCCAGGAGAAAGGUACCAGCCAGAGGGAGGCCUGCCAGAGAUAGCCACGUCUCCUCUCAGAGAAUGGGGAUGAUGAGGCCCUGCAGGCCAAUCUGCCCUGUGCCGUGGGGCAGAGGAAGCUGUGGGACUGGACAACUCCAACAUUCACAGUUGUGGCACCAGCUGCAGGCCCCAUCACACCCCGUCUACCACACCUGCCGUACUGAGCAACGGGAAGAGGUGGUUUGCAGCCCCAUGAGCAGCCCUGACAGCUCUGGAAUCGGGCACCCUGGUUCCCCAGGUGGCACAGGUGCCUGAGAGGCCCAUAGGGCCAAAGCAUUUCCCUCCCCAUCCCACCCAGGCCUGGUCCACACCAGCCCCCUCCCACGGCUGCAGCCUCCAGGGGCACCCUCUCCCCACAGGCCCUACCUCCGGUCCAGGCUGUCCCUCCCUCUCACCAUAGUGGAAAAAUGCACUAGGCUCCCCAGUCUUUUAAAAAAAUUAAACAGACUUUUUAAAGAACAAUUUAAGGUUUACAGCAAAAUUGAGAGGAAGGUACAGGGAGUUCCUGUCCCCCUUGGCACCCCCCUGCCACCAACACCCUGCAUGGGGGCACAUUAGUCACCACCCAGGAACCUGCACUGACGUCACCUCCACCGAGUCCAGAGCUGAUGUCAGGUCGCCCUGGUGGCACAGCCACAGGUGGACAAACAGCAGCAUCGCCGCCCAGGAGCCCUGUGCCUGCCCACUCCUACUACCCUCCUCAAGCCCCUGCAGCCUCCGGAUGGUUCUGCCUUUUCCAGUGCGCCAUGCUGCAGAGCUGGAGUUGCACAGCCUGCAGCCUUUUCAGAGGGGCUUCUCUACUUAGUAACAGGGACUUGAUUUUUCUCCCCUGUGCCUGCUCUUGGCCCACUGCUCAUUUCUUUUCAGUACUGGAUAAUAGUCCAGUAUGGAUGCACCACGGUUUAUUUUUCCACUCAUCUACUGAAGGGCAUCUUGGUCGCUUCCAGGUUUUGGUAAUUAUGAAGAAAGCUGCUAUCAACAUCCAGGUGCAGGUUUUUGUGUGGGCAGGAGAUUUCCAGUGGGUAAAUGACAGGGCGUGGCU